AAUUUGUAAAAUUUUGUUCGUUUGUUUAAAAGAUAUAAAAGCAUUAAUAUAUAUAUUUUUUUCCGAUGUUUUCUCUAUCUUAUGCUUUAACAAUUCGUUGUUAAAAACACAGGGAAACUUGCAGUUUGUCAAAUACUAAGUUGAUUAGUUUAGUCUGCAAUUGCAACACUUUUGAGGAAAGAAAAAGUUCUUACAUAUGUAAAUCGUUGUUUUACGCUUUAUUAUUUUGGUAAAAGGUCUUCAUCAUAAAUAGACUACUCUUAAUAAAAAAAACUCUACUCACAUGGCUACCAUUAAAACAAAAAAAGGGGAGGGGCUCUUAAUUAGCGGAGAUGUCAAAAUAUUGAUGAAACCGAAACUUCGAGUAAUAAAAGGAAUAUUUAGUAAAUGGCAGCAAAUUACUUUACCGUUUGCAAAAAAUUAUUGAAAUAAAGAGGCCAUCUAUUCAAUAUAGAAAUAAUCAGAGUUUAGAAGGCUUAACAUGACCGGGUCCGGUUAGCUUUGUUUGCAAACAUGAGAUGUCACGUUAACAACCUCAAAAGUCAAUUUAAAACAUGUUUAGUAGCAAAAUGUGAUAUAUACAAGUAUAAAUGUGAUAGUAUAGUAAUACUCUUUUAUGAUUUUUUAGCUAAUAAAAUGGAUUUAAGACUAGAUUGAUUUUUGUUUCCUGUUAAACCGCAGUAAAUAAAAAUUAGAAGGCUAUUUGGCCCCGACAGAAUAUGCGACAAGUUUGUAUUAAACUCAUUUACACAAAAAUGGAAUUAAGACAAGUUAGCUCCUAAAAUUAUCUAUAUGUACAGAUAUGUUUAUUGCACUUAUUAGUAAAUAAACUGAUUAGUUGCGUAAUGAGUUUAAAUUUUAGCCAUUUUUCAAAGUUGAUAAUCAUAACGUUCUUAAUUAAACAUGCGUGAUGUAAUUUGCAUAGCUAAAUUAAAUGCUCUUUUACUUUAGUUACUGCGCUAAGUGUUACGCAGUUUGGUUUGUGCGCAGUUUUUCUUCUGUUCUGGAAUUUUGAGAUUGGAAUUUCCAGACUUAUUUUAAAAAGCGCGUUUUCGUUAUAAAUUUUUUUUACAUCUAAUCGUACCUAUCAAGUAGGUCAUAUUCAGUAUAAUCAAUUCAAUCGUUUUUAUUUUUUAUUUUUUAACAUGUCUAUUACCUUUAUUAAAUUUGUUUUAAGCAUAUUUGUUUUUAUUUUUUAUAUCGAAUUAAUAGAAUGAAUCAGAUUGAAGAUGAAGUUGCUGAAUUACUAAGAAAUGAUGACAAUAUUGAAGCAAG